AUUUUUACUGCCACCAGCUCACGAGAUAAAUAUACCUCCCCCUCCCCCCCAGCUGCCCCGACGAUGAGCCCCUCCUCACCCAGGUUCCUCAGACCAGGCUCUCUAAGGUCUUCCCCUCACACGCCCUCCUGCGCAAGCAAGUUCUGCCUGCAACUAACUUCUAGGCCUCUUGCUUUGGUCCAAAGAACAUUCUGGGCAGGAACCGCAGCCUCUCCACGGAGGGCAGAAGACGGAGCCUGGGAUCAGGACAGUGGCUGUUCAUUCCUGGACUGCAGGAGUCUCCGGCCUGAGGAAGCCCCCAGGGUCCUUAGGACAGACCCCAGCGAAUGAGCCAGUGCGUGGUGGGUCACACACCAGCAAGAGAGCACUCUCUCCCUUGGUGACAGCCGCUGCAGUCCCGAAGCAGGUGAUGGCCGCCCUGUCCGGGCUGACCUCUGGCCCCACAGCUUCUGCCUCGCAGGCCUUUCUUGGACCCACAGAAGAAAAGUCUGGGCCCUUUUACCCAAGAGCUCCCAGAUGCCCAGGAUGACCCCAUCCUCUGUAUUUACUUUCAAAUACUCCAUGCGCUCUGUCCAUCAAGAAUUCUGUUACAGGGGCACCUGGGGGGCUCAGUGGGUUAAAGCCUCUGCCUUCGGCUCAGGUCAUGGUCUCAGGGUCAAGCCCCGC
rnacentral:lncRNA from 1 species